rnacentral:misc_RNA from 1 species
AAGUCGUAACAAGGUUUCCGUAGGUGAACCUGCGGAAGGAUCAUUAAAGAAUUAGGCUUCGCGGCCAAGUUCCUCACCCUUUGUAUGCCGAAACCAUGUCGCUUUGGCAUGGCCCCUGCCAUUUCUUCGGCCGUCGCCAGAGGUUAUAAACCCUAGAAUCUCUGCUGUCUGAGUACUAUGCAAUAGUUAAAA